GACGAACGCUGGCGGCGUGCCUAAUACAUGCAAGUCGAACGCAUUUUCUUUCACCGUAGCUUGCUACACCGAAAGAAAAUGAGUGGCGAACGGGUGAGUAACACGUGGGUAACCUGCCCAUCAGCGGGGGAUAACACUUGGAAACAGGUGCUAAUACCGCAUAAUUCCAUUUACUGCAUGGUAGAUGGAUGAAAGGCGCUUUUGCGUCACUGAUGGAUGGACCCGCGGUGCAUUAGCUAGUUGGUGGGGUAACGGCCUACCAAGGCUGCGAUGCAUAGCCGACCUGAGAGGGUGAUCGGCCACACUGGGACUGAGACACGGCCCAGACUCCUACGGGGGGCAGCAGUAGGGAAUCUUCGGCAAUGGACGCAAGUCUGACCGAGCAACGCCGCGUGAGUGAAGAAGGUUUUCGGAUCGUAAAACUCUGUUGUUAGAAAAGAACAAGGAUGAGAGUGGAAAGUUCAUCCCUUGACGGUAUCUAACCAGAAAGCCACGGCUAACUUCGUG
rnacentral:rRNA from 1 species